GACGUAGGGCGCGAGCGUUGUCCGGAUUUAUUGGGCGUAAAGAGCUCGUAGGCGGCUCAGAAAGUCGGGUGUGAAACCUCCAGGCUCAACCUGGAGACGCCACCUGAUACUGCUGUGGCUAGAGUCCGGUAGGGGAGCACGGAAUUCCCGGUGUAGCGGUGAAAUGCUUAGAUAUCGGGAGGAACACCAGUGGCGAAGGCGGUGCUCUGGGCCGGGAACUGA
rnacentral:rRNA from 1 species